rnacentral:rRNA from 1 species
ACGCUCGACACCUACGGGAGGCAGCAGUGGGGAAUAUUGCACAAUGGGGGAAACCCUGAUGCAGCGACGCCGCGUGGAGGAAGAAGGUCUUCGGAUUGUAAACUCCUGUUGUUGGGGAAAAAGAGGAUGGUACCCAACAAGGAAGUGACGGCUAACUACGUGGCAGCAGCCGCGGUAAUCUGAGCGGGCUGGCAAGGC